rnacentral:rRNA from 1 species
GACGAACGCUGGCGGCGUGCUUAACACAUGCAAGUCGAACGGUGAAGGGACCGGUUUUUGCUGGUUCUGGAUGAGUGGCGAACGGGUGCGUAACACGUGAGUAACCUGCCCCCUUCUUCUGGAUAACCGCAUGAAAGUGUGGCUAAUACGGGAUAUUCUGCGCCUGCUGCAUGGUGGGUGUGGGAAAGAUAUUGUUUCGGUGGGGGAUGGGCUCGCGGCCUAUCAGCUUGUUGGUGGGGUGAUGGCCUACCAAGGCGGUGACGGGUAGCCGGCCUGAGAGGGUGGACGGUCACACUGGGACUGAGACACGGCCCAGACUCCUACGGGAGGCAGCAGUGGGGAAUAUUGCACAAUGGGCGCAAGCCUGAUGCAGCGACGCCGCGUGAGGGAUGGAGGCCUUCGGGUUGUAAACCUCUUUCGCCAGUGAAGCAGGCCUGUCCCUUUUGUGGGUGGGUUGACGGUAGCUGGAGAAGAAGCGCCGGCUAACUACGUG